GGGGGAACGAAAGCAACAAACAUUUAUUUCGUACCUAGCGCCAAUGUAAAAUCACAAAUAUCAGAACCAGAGCCGAAGCAAUUACCACCAGAACAUUCGAACUGAGCGCCAGACCACAGCUGGUUUUGAGCUUAUUCAAGACGGUCUCUAUGUUGGUAUAGUACAGGGCCGAAAAUUUGUUGGGAUCAGCUUUUUCAUCUGUACAAUGUGCGACGAGCUCGUCCACCAAUCGGAAUGCAUACUCGACACACACCAGAUGACUGUGUCCGAUUUCAAUGAUCCUCGUGGCUCCACGGCCAUCGAUGCAUUCGAAUUUCUGUAUUGACUUGAUCCUGAGGCUCUUACAAAACAUGAUCGACUUGCUGCCAAAAACGGCCAGAAAGUCGUCGUGUGCGUUCUCCGAUUGAAACACAGCAUAAGGGUCACCAGGAGCAACCAGCUUGCCGCCAUAUCGGAUCAAUACAUCCGUCGGAUAGCUGCCACUGCAGAUCAAGUUCCACAUGCCAGAGAGAAUCCUAUGACAACGAUGUGUAAUUUUGUCAUAGUGACUAACUACAUUCCUCGAAUCCUUCUUCAUAUUUCCUAAUGUCUAAGUGGGAAUCACUCACUAUCUACUUGGAAUUUUAGUUUUGUGUUUCACACAAACUGUUUUUCACCAGAAAAUUAUUGUUUACUGAUCUGACAAGUAACCGAACUCCAUGAUCUACCACAAACUCAAC
rnacentral:lncRNA from 1 species